AGAGACAGCAGUAGCCACGGUAAUACGUAGGUCCCGAACGUUGUCCGGAUUUAUUGGGCGUAAAGCGAGCGCAGGCGGUUAGAUAAGUCUGAAGUUAAAGGCUGUGGCUUAACCAUAGUACGCUUUGGAAACUGUUUAACUUGAGUGCAAGAGGGGAGAGUGGAAUUCCAUGUGUAGCGGUGAAAUGCGUAGAUAUAUGGAGGAACACCGGUGGCGAAAGCAGCUCUCUGGCUUGUAACUGACGCUGAGGCUCGAAAGCGUGGGGAGCAAACAGGAUUAGAUACCCCCGUAGUCCCUGUCUCUUAUACA
rnacentral:rRNA from 1 species